rnacentral:pre_miRNA from 1 species
ACCUCCGUCCCAAAAUAAGUGCAGUUUUACACUAUUCAUCUCCAAAGUUUGAUCGUUCGUCUUAUUUGAAAAUUUUUUAUGAUUACUAUUUUUAUUGUUAUUACAUGAUAAAACAUGAAUAGUAUUUUAUGUGUGACUAAUUUUUUUAAAAAUUUUCAUAAAUUUUUCAAAUAAGACGGACGGUUAAACGUUGGACACGGAUUUUCACGGCUGCACUUAUUUUGAAACGGAGGU